UUUUACGUCCACCCGUUGCAAAUCUAUAAAAACUGCAAUAAUGACUCUCAGAAUGAUGGUUACGAUCGGGUACAAAGCACGACACCAUUUUCACCGAGCCAAUGAUUAAAUUGAUUACGUCACGAAUUUUCUAU